rnacentral:rRNA from 1 species
GACGAACGCUGGCGGCGUGCUUAACACAUGCAAGUCGAACGGAAAGGCCCUGCUUUUGUGGGGUGCUCGAGUGGCGAACGGGUGAGUAACACGUGAGUAACCUGCCCUUGACUUUGGGAUAACUUCAGGAAACUGGGGCUAAUACCGGAUAGGAGCUCCUGCUGCAUGGUGGGGGUUGGAAAGUUUCGGCGGUUGGGGAUGGACUCGCGGCUUAUCAGCCUGUUGGUGGGGUAGUGGCUUACCAAGGCUUUGACGGGUAGCCGGCCUGAGAGGGUGACCGGCCACAUUGGGACUGAGAUACGGCCCAGACUCCUACGGGAGGCAGCAGUGGGGAAUAUUGCACAAUGGGCGGAAGCCUGAUGCAGCAGCGCCGCGUGCGGGAUGACGGCCUUCGGGUUGUAAACCGCUUUCGCCUGUGACGAAGCGUGAGUGACGGUAAUGGGUAAAGAAGCACCGGCUAACUACGUG